rnacentral:rRNA from 1 species
GACGAACGCUGGCGGCGUGCUUAACACAUGCAAGUCGAACGAAGAGCGACGGAAGCUUGCUUCUAUCAAUAUUAGUGGAGAAAGGGUGAGUAACGCGUAAUCAAACUGACAUUCAGAGGGGGACAAUAGUUGGAAACGACUGCUAAUACCGCAUACGAUCUAAUCUCGGCAUCGAGGAUGGAUGAAAGGUGGCCUCUACAUGUAAGCUAUCACUGAAGGAGGGGAUUGCGUCUGAUUAGCUAGUUGGAGGGGUAACGGCCCACCAAGGCGAUGAUCAGUAGCCGGUCUGAGAGGAUGAACGGCCACAUUGGGACUGAGACACGGCCCAGACUCCUACGGGAGGCAGCAGUGGGGAAUCUUCCGCAAUGGACGAAAGUCUGACGGAGCAACGCCGCGUGAGUGAUGACGGCCUUCGGGUUGUAAAGCUCUGUUAAUCGGGACUAAAGGCCUUCUUGCGAAUAGUGAGAAGGAUUGACGGUACCGGAAUAGAAAGCCACGGCUAACUACGUG